GUGCUUGAUUCAGCAGCACAUAUACUAAAAUUGGAACAAUACUGAGAAGAAUUGCAUGAACUCUGUAUAACGAUGACACAGAAAUUCAUGAAGCAUUCCAUAUUUUA